rnacentral:rRNA from 1 species
UUUCCCGUAGGUGAACCUUGCGGAAGGAUCAUU